rnacentral:rRNA from 1 species
UAGCGAAAUUCCUUGUCGGGUAAGUUCCGACCCGCACGAAUAGUGUAACGACAGCCACACUGUCUCCACGAUGGACUCGGCGAAAUUGUGGUCGUGGUGAAGACGCCACGUUCCCGCACCAAGACGGAAAGACCCCGUGAACCUUUACUACAGCUUGGCACUGAACAUUGACCCUACAUGUGUAGGAUAGGUGGGAGACUAUGAAACAUUGUCGCUAGAUGAUGUGGAGUCAACCUUGAAAUACCACCCUUGUAUGUUUGAUGUUCUAACAUUGCCCCCUAAUCGGGGGUAUGGACAGUGUCUGGUGGGUAGUUUGACUGGGGCGGUCGCCUCCCAAAGAGUAACGGAGGCGCGCGAUGGUAGGCUCAAGCCGGUCGGACAUCGGCUGUUGAGUGCAAUGGCAUAAGCCUGCCUGACUGUGAGAUCGACAGGUCGAGCAGAGACGAAAGUCGGUCAUAGUGAUCCGGUGGUCCCGAGUGGAAGGGCCAUCGCUCAACGGAUAAAAGGUACGCCGGGG